UAUAACUAGAUACGCACUCAUGUACACUUUCUGGCAUCUCUAAGUACAGGUAUUCCCUGUUGACUGUUAGAAAGUGCAGCACAACUCAGUGACUUGCCCUGUGGCAUGAGUAGAACCAACUUGUUCUGAUAGACAUGGUAAUUAAUUAACUCGGGGAAUUAGGCACAAUGAGGGAGACGUGCUCUUCUGGUACGAUUCAGAUCAAGGAAUGGUCCUUCCACAGGAGCUGGAGAGAGCGAGGCCUGAGCUCUGAAAUCCAGAGGCAGUAACAGGGUCCGAAUGAUUCAAAAGCAGGGAUGGAGGAACGUUUGUGCUGCAAACAUCGAAGACAUAACCCAGUUGUGCCAAAUCUUCCUUUAUCUGUGUCCUCUGUUAAAUUGGACAAGUAGCUGACUUCAAUGAACAUUCAACUGCACAUUGGUUUUCAUAACCAACUUAAUCACUUACAGUUAUUUUUUCUCCUGUGUGCGGUUAGCAUGGCCAACUAACCAAUGAGGUGUCUCUUUCCACGCCAUUGUAUUAUUUGUUAAGUCUGAUAAUACAAUUGAGCGCCAAUUAAUGCACCAGAGUGUUCAUUCUCAAAUCAAGAUCGAAAACUCAAUACUUUAUGAAUAAUUCCAGCAGAUUCUGGAGAAAGGUAACAUAACUGAAAAUUUGCAUCUUUCUUCCACGAAUGCAAUUGAGAAUUAUCAACAAUUUAUGCCUUUUAAUUUAUACACUUUAUGUGCUAUCAGGCUAAAUAAAAAAUAUUCGUUAUCAUGAUUGAAUGAACAAUUUGUGUAUAGUGCUGUUAUGGAUGUGGCCAACCCGGGUGAGAAGAGAAGAAUGAGCAACAGGCUGUCUUCAAGGCACAGGUAGAUAGUGCCAGGAGUCUCUGAGUGCACCGCUUUUUCCAAUCAGUAUUCAGCUCUGUUCAAUUUCUAAGCAGUGUAAUUUGCUCGUAUUAUUGGAGUGAAUUUCAACUAAGUUGGCAGGGGUCUAGGAAGUUUCAGGGAAAACGGGAAGUUCGGUUGGGGUUCAGGAAGCAUCUCGGCCAAUGGGACUGUGCUCAGUAUUGCCACUGAAAGGAAUAUUGAGGCAUUAUCUUUGUUUCCAACUUCCUCCCUUCUCCAUAAUUUUAGCCAGCUCCGGUAUGAUGCUGCCACCAAAUACAGGUACUUUGUCUCGUCUUUCAUCAUUCUGAAGGGACCGUUCCCUCCCCUGCACUCUAGCCCAUUUCUCACUCACCCCAAGUCCCUCUCCCUUCCCCAUACCACCUCUCUAUGUCAUCACAGUGGAUACAACACCUGUACAUUCAUUUCAACUCUUGUCACCAUACAAGGCUUCAAAAAGUCCUCCCAGGUGGAACAACUAUCUACCUAUGCUUCUUUCAAAUGAGUAUACUCUAUUGCCUUUUCACUAUAUGAUCCCCUGUACAAAGGAGAGACCAAACAGUUACUAAUUUGAUGGAAAUCUCUAUUUAGCCUUGAUGUCGCUGGCAAGUCCAACAUUUAUUGCCCAUUCCUAACUGCCUUUGAACUGAGUAACUUGCCACACCAUUUCAAGGGGCAGUUGAGACUAAAAAAAACGAUGCUGUGUGUCUGGAGUCACAUGUGGGUCAGGCUGGUUAAGGGUGUCAUAUUUCCUUUCAUGAAGUACAUGGGCCGGUUUUCAAGAGAAUCGUUUCAAAGUCACCAUCAUUGGGACUAGUUUUUCAUUUCCUGUUUGUUAUUUAAAUUCAAAUUCCAUCAGCUGUUGUGGUGGGAUUUGAAAUCUUGUUAACAGAGUAUUUGCCUGGUCUUCUGGAUUACUAGCCCAGUGACAUUAACACUAUGCCUCAAUCUCCUUUCAACUUAUUUUUUUACAGCUGAUGCACAGUCCUCAAAGUUCUUUUCAAAAGCAUUCAGGUUCCACCGACAUUUUAAAGAAUCCCUUACCGUACUGAUUCCAGGUCAAAUAGCAUCAUGACUACCUGGUGGAAUGACUGUGAAUACAAUCCUUAUUCGGAAGUCUCUGCAAUCACAGAUAAAGUAUGAGACUCCACUUGCAUUCAUCAUAGUGCCGAUCCCCUCUGCGUCUCCCACUCUGGAGUCCAUAUAAACACAAGCACACUUGGCUACACCAUAUGCUCUGUAAUUUGAGACAAACACAAUGACUCACUUGCGGAGGGUUUAAUACAAGCCAACACUUUGACUCCCUGUGAAGAGCACUAGAUAACCAGAUUCAAAAUAAGACAUAAUUUGUGACUCCCAUGUGCAGACUCGAAUUACAGAUCCACUCUGUGAAAUCCCCUGUCGAGUCUCUGCAAGGUCAGACCCACUUGGUAACCCACACUGUGGAGUGCACCUAAGUGCAGUUCCACCCUCCCAGUGGACCCUCAGAUAUUAUAUGCUAACAUGCGUAGGUCUGCUGAGCUGCCUCUGUUAUGUCUCCCCAUGUGUAUUCUUUAAAAUUAAAUACACACUCAUACACCUUUUCUGUCAUCUAUAAAUAAAAAUAUUCCCUGUUAACUGCUAGUAAGUGCAGCACAACUCUGUGACUUGUCCUGUGGCAUGAGUAGAACAAACUCGGCUUGUUCUGAUAGACAUGGUAAUUAAUUAACCUGGGGAAUUAGGUACAAUGAGGGAGUAGUGCUCUUCUGGUACAAUUCAGAACAAGGAAUGGUCCUACCAAUGGAAUUGGAGAGAGCGAGGCCUGAGCUCUGAAGUCCAGAGGCAGUACUUGGGUGAGAAUAUAAGUGAUUUGCUGGUGACGUUUCAUGUUUUUUAUUCUUUCUUUGAACGAAGGCGGUGUUUCGAUUUAAGGCCAAUGAAAAAUCAAUGUAAUCUAUUUGUGAAUUAAUUAGUUAAUUUACUUGAUGUAACAGAAAUGCUUGCAUUUGUUUUGCAAUAAAGACUUCAGUUAAU